rnacentral:rRNA from 1 species
GACGUAGGGGACGAGCGUUGUCCGGAUUUAUUGGGCGUAAAGAGCACGUAGGCGGCCAGGUAGGUCUGCUGUGAAAACUCGAGGCUCAACCUCGAGACGUCGGCGGAAACCAUCUGGCUAGAGUCCGGAAGAGGAGAGUGGAAUUCCUGGUGUAGCGGUGAAAUGCGCAGAUAUCAGGAAGAACACCCGUGGCGAAGGCGGCUCUCUGGGACGGUACUGACGCUGAGACGCGAAAGCGUGGGGAGCGAACAGG